rnacentral:tRNA from 1 species
GCUCGCAUAGCUCAGCUGGAUAGAGCGUUGGACUUAGGUUCACAGGUCGUAGGUUCAAAUCCUGCUGCGAGCC